rnacentral:rRNA from 1 species
AUACGUAGGGUGCAAGCGUUAAUCGGAAUUACUGGGCGUAAAGCGUGCGCAGGCGGUUUUGUAAGACAGUGGUGAAAUCCCCGGGCUCAACCUGGGAACUGCCCUUGUGACUGCAAGGCUGGAGUGCGGCAGAGGGGGGUGGAAAUCCGCGUGUAGCAGUGAGAAGCGUAGAUGUGCGGAGGAACACCGAUGGCGAAGGCAAUCCCCUGGGCCUGCACUGACGCUCAUGCACGAAAGCGUGGGGAGCAAACAGGAUUAGAUACCCUGGUAGUCCACGCCCUAAACGAUGUCAACUGGUUGUUGGGGAUUUAUUUUCUCAGUAACGAAGCUAACGCGUGAAGUUGACCGCCUGGGGAGUACGGCCGCAAGGUUAAAACUCAAAUGAAUUGACGGGG